AGUACACAUGUACUUAUAAUCACUUAAUCAAGAAUUUUAUUAUGGUGUGCAUGGUUCCAAAACAGAGAAAGAAGUGCCGAGAACAAAAUUCUCCUCGAUGAAGUCCAGACCUCAGUUUUUCUCACCUUAUUAUCCAACUUCUUUUUACAGCUUUUAGUACUGAGGACUGAUUGAAACCAGAAACAGAGACGUGCUAGAUCUCUACAGUUUUUAGCGGGGCUUACGAGGAAGGUCUCUCUGUGAAGACGCUUGAUGCUGAGCCUCCUUCCCGCACAGUUGUCCAGAACAGAGUACUGCACUGGUUGCCGCCUCGUGCAGAAUCUUUCUCAUUCCAGCACAAUACCAUAUAUUUUGCCUGGCUCACCGCUUGACAUUCUGAUAUUACUAAUAUUCACUUGUAGCUUUGAAUAUCUUCUCAUUGUAAACUUUGAUGGACAGCAUUAUAACUGCAGUACAAAUGGAAGAAGAAAAGCAAUAGCAGAACCUUUGAUUUCCCAGGUGAACAUAUAUCACGCGAUGAUAUAGCAUGAUGUAUUAGGCCUACAUAGGUUUUUGUGUCUUUUCGUUUGGGGCUGACAUCACAAGGCGCGGCCUUCACCAGGAUUCCAGAGGACAACAAAAGGAAAUGCUACACCUCUUGUCUCCUGUCAAUUGUGGCCAAGUAUAUAGGCGCCAGUGCCAAAUGCUUGGGUGCUGCUAAAACCAGGAGAAAGAAAGGGAAGAGAACGAGACGAGAUAAUCUCAUCCGCUCGCCAUCAACAGAGUACUGUUUAGAUUAGGGCAGCGUCUUCUCGGUCUCUAGCCGUAUGUCUUCAAAUGGGCAAUUUGAGAGAGCGAGGCGGGGGAUGGGGUGGAUGGGGCGAGGUGGGGUGGGGGGGAUGACAACGAGUUUCACUUAACGUAAACACUCUCGCUGCACUUAUAUUUCUUAAACAAUGUGUAGCUAUUAUUAUACCUUAGUUUGUUUUUCGAGUCAAAUGAUAAACCAUGGCAUUUUAUAAUCAAGGAUAGAUAGGAUAUAUAGUUAUAGCCUACCGUGUAAUAUGUCAGUGACUUGGUUCGUUAAUUGAUUAGUUAAUGGAGUAAUUCGUUAAUUGAUACUGUUAUAUGCAAACUUGUGAAUACCGGACCUAUUUCUAUUUCAAGCGUAAAUGAAUUUACAUCCUAUUCGUCAAAUCUAGCACAGGUAUGGUUACCGAGCAGUGUCAAGCUCUUUUAGUUAUGUCAUAACGUAGCCUACUUUUGCUCACUGAAACUACAACACACAUAUGAGCAACAUGACAGUGAUCCCACCGAUAUGACUGGCUUCUUGCGCUCUAAAAGAUGGAAGUGACUCCCUCCCUCUCAGCUAAGGACCUUGUAGUGACCCUGGAUGACCAGCUGAGCUUCUCAGGAUACAUUACAGCAGCUACCUGGUCCUUCAGGUUCUCCCUUCACAACAUCAGGAGAGUCCACCCCUUGCUCACCCAAGAGUGUACUUAAUGAAUCAUCCAAGCCCUCAUAUUUUUUCACCUGGACUAUUGCAAUGCCUUGCUGGCUGACUUAGCAUGAUGUGCCAUCAGGCCGCUGUAUGUUGUCCUGUAUGCUGCUGCUUGCCUCUUAUUAAACCUACCUAAAUUCUUACACAUUAAUACACCCUACACUGGCUUCUGGUGGCUACCCAAAUUCAGUUGGAAUUACCCACAUUGGCAUAUCAAGCUGUGAAUGAUACCCAUCUCUUCAAGUACCGGGCAACUGCUCCUCACGGUCCUGGCUCUUCUUUGCCCUCACCCCCUGUUGGUGGAUUGGACUUCCUCAACCAAUCAGGAAAGGAGAUUCACUGGCUGUUUUCUGUAUCUAAAAACCCACCCUUUCAGACCAUGCUCUCCUUUCUUAAAGGAGUCUUCAGGCAUGCACCUAUUCAGUAACAUUUAUCUUGCCUAUCUUUAGUGAAAAUUGGAUGCUUACCACACAGGUGUCAAACCGCAGUCCUGGAGGGCCACAGUGUCUGCUGGUUUUGGGGGUAUUCGUGACCCCAGUGGUUCAUUUAAGACAUUGACUGGCUAAAGAAUCCACACACAUUGUUCUCAGGGCCUUAAUUGGCAGCUGAUUGAAAGGAAACCACAAAAAGCUGCAGACACUGCAGCCCUCGAAGAAUUUAGUUUGACACCCUUGGCUUUCCAUGUUAAAUCUACUUUUGGUUCCUAUUGUAAAGAACAUCUCCUAACUGAUUAAAUUACGAAUUGUAAAACAUUACAAAUAUUCCAUUCUUUUACAGGAAGCUUGGCCAAUGCGCAUAUCCUGUGGGUGGAGUUUUAAUUUGCUGAUCUGCAACCAAAACUCUUGGCAAUCUAAUCAUCUGGAUCAUGCUCUAGCCCUCCCACCCUCUUGAGGUAUAAUGCCUUUGGCAGGUGUCCAUAUGACGCAGAGCAUGCAUCAAAGUGAGUUCAGCCAGGAGCAAGGGUAUCUUGGCAAUGGUAUUACGGCUGAGAAGGUGUUUGGGUGGGCGGUGUCAGACCUGCUGUUGGGUGGCAGGGCUGUUUGCAGUGUGAUUUUGUUGGAGAGGAGGGAUCUGUGUGGGAAAGGUGUGUUUUGGUUAUGUAAUUGGGGAGGUGGCUAAGUAGUGGCUAGGGAGGUGAUAACUGAUGGAAUUUGUGGUGUGCUGUCAGGGGUGGGGCGUGGAUUGUUACAGAGUUGUUUUGGGUGUGCUCCAAUAAGCAAGUGGUGCAGAGUGGGAAAGGGUUAAGGGAGGGCCCGUACUGAUUGUAUUUGCAGACUGUCUGCAGUAUUUGUGGCAGAAAGCUCUGUCAUGCCAGGCUGAAAGAUUGAAGCUCCAUUCCUGUCCCUGGGUGGUUUCUUGGGAUUUGUAAAAUGGCAUAAAAAAUUAUUGGAUUUUUAAAAAGUGCCCUUGCGGCAAGGUUAUUUAUAUCACAGUCAUGUUCUUAUCACAUAUUCCAUAAAGAGGUAAAAAAGUAAAAAAAAAUGUCCUACGACCCCUUUUGUCAUGCAUAUGAAUGUACAUUACUGUAACACUUUAUAAAUGCUACAUAAACCACAUCUAAAGUGAAAUCUUGCUGUGGGGGUAUACAUACAUUAGCAGUGAAUGCUAUGAACAAUUAUGUGCUUUCCUAUGGGGUAUGGCGGCAAUAGCAUGGUCCAUGCUUGUUUUUUAGGCAGUGCAAUGUAAGCUUUUCUCAUGUGGUGAGCAGCUCCACAUAGCUCUGCAGUAACUGCAUGAAGCAAUGCAGUCAUUGGCGGGUAAGUGACUCCAUUUUAAACUCAGAGAGGAGGAAAGAGUUGAACAAUGAACACUGAGCUUGUGGGCAUAUUGAUGAAUUUUAACACUCAGUAAGGAUUAUUUAUUUAUUCAUUUUCACUUUUUUUCCUCAAAAUGAUUAUUUAUCUGUUGAAUAGAAUGGAGUGUUGGCUGGAGGGUGGAUAUUCUGAUAUAUAAUUUUGUGAAAUCUUUUGACCUAGCCUCAAACAUGGUCAUAGACUUCAUGUGGAGAAGCCCCAGAUGGUUCCAGAAGGUUCCAUAACAUGUUGGCGGACUGGACUAGGUUGACCUUUUCAUUGUGCUUCUGAUCUGGCAGGCUAAGAUCUCAGCGAACAGAGAUCUUGGUGCCCCUUCCAAAAUGGGGGGAGGUGGUAAGGAUGGCAAAAACAAUAUGGCACCCAUGGCAACAUCACCAAUAACAGGAAGACUUCAAUCUGCUUCCUUACUGGAGGAAGUGCCCCACCCUCCUCAAGUCCCAUAAGCUACACAUCUAUAUUGCACCCACUUUCUCAGUCUCACAGGUGUGUGUGUGUGUGUGUGUGUGUGUUGCUCCCUGCGUGAGAUCAGUGGGAUCUGUUUACAGCAGUGUAUUUGUAAUUUUGUAAUAUAUCUCACAGAGAGAUAUAUGAAAGGCUAUAUGAAAGGAAAAACAGCAACCCAGAUAUUCAUCUUGUGUUAAGCUGCUAUGGUGACAUGGCCUGAAUUUCAUGACAGAAAAGAGGGGGGGGGGGGGGGGUAAAAGAGCAAUAGGUUGAGCAAGACUUUAAGCAAGAAGUCCUUGGUCCACAUUCCUUACUUCUAACAUCCCAUUCAUUUUACAUGUGAUUCAGAUACUAAAACGAAUAAUAUUUGCCCAUAAAAACAAGAGAGGGGUUGUAUCAAGUUCAUCUGGCCAGCAGCAUGUAAGCAAUUGGGAAAAAGUUUGUCUCCUUAAUAUCAUUAUGAGUCACUUUGGACGAAUUGAUAGUGUCGGCCGUUAAAAAAAACAAAACAAAUGUAAAGAGUUGACCUUUCCUUAAGUAAACUUCUCUGUGAGUGGGACUAGCGCUGCUCUACAGUCCGUGUGGUGUCUUAAUCAAAAUGACAAUUUGUUUUCAGAAAAGGCAAGAUGUCUCAUACAUAACUGGUCGUUACUGUAAAUAAGUGAGGCAUGCUUGUUUUGGCUCGUUUCCUCACAGUGGGACUGAGAGCGCAGUGGUUCCUCUGCUGGGGUAAGCAAAACUCCGCCACCCGAAGAAGGCGGGGUGUGCAUCGUCUUGAACCGCGGUGCUCUGUGGGGUCCAGGCUUUUUGCCGUCCUUGAGGAAGAACAAAUGUGCCUUCCGUCCAGUAUGUGCAAGAGCACAGCUGGUCCGUCCUUCACUGUGUCACCCCAGUGGAAAGGCUAUGGUGGAGGAGGGGUUCCGUUGCCCCCGGAAACAAGCAUUCCCAAGUUUCAAUGCCAAAUUUAAACGCUGCUUCUAUCAAGUCAUCUACUGUACACGCACACACACACACACACACACACAUAUAUUGUUUUCUUGCUAUUUUCAAUCUUGCUAUUUUCAGGUAGUUUCCUAUUUUUAGAACCCUCUAUAAAACUUUCUGUGUUCUUUAUACAUACAAUAUUAUUUGACUGCAUUUAGUAGUAUGUCAGCAGUGUACUGUUGGAACAGUUAAAAUGCAGCAGGGCAGGGAUUGGUAAUGUCCAUGAGCUUUGCAUUUGGUAUAAAAAUUAAGUCGCUUUUACAGACAACAUUAUUAAACCACCAAGUUGCAAUAUGAAAUAAAUGGCUGAACAUUAAAUAAAUAGGAAAUACGAAUUAAAUACCAUACAAAAGUCUUUUGGAAAAUCACAUAAUUUCCAGUUACUUUAUCCACAUUUUCAACUGUACAAGAUAAAUGAGAUAGAAGAUGGGAAAUAAUUUUCUGAUUAAAGUCUGUCGGCCAUUGGUUAGUUAAAUUCUUCUGAGAAACUGACAUACAAACAGAAAAGUAAGACUAGUUCUACAGGCUGUCCUCCUCAUGCGACAACAGUUGCCAUUACAUUUUUCCCAGUAUCGUAAUCAUAUUAUUUUCACAAUGCAAUGACAUGCAUAAUAAACUACUUUGGAAAUGGCAACAAGGUCCUUUAAUUUCUUGGUCUCCAUGCCUAAUAUUAGCUUGCACCUGUGCAAAUUUGUGAGUGUUUUUUUUUUGCAAAACCCUUACCUUAAGAGAUGUAGAGAAAGCUGGAUGAUACCCUCUGGGUCUGCACAGGGUAAAGGCCACCGUCUCUUACUAACAGCUGCAUUAGGAAGUUUUUUUCCCCUUCCGAAUGUGUAGAUAAGCCCAGUUUCUUGUACAGACCCGAUGACACUGCUCACAGAAAACACACAACAGACACAGAGUUCAAAGGGCAAUCCUUCAACACGUUUCUUCGACCUGGGAAGUUAGGAGGCUAAUGUAGCGCUGAGACACCGUGAAGGUCUCCCGCUGGAAUGCUGUCUGUUUGUGUGCGUCUGCACGGACCGCUGCCUCCCCGGACCCUGGCUUCUGUUAAGCUAGACUCAACACACUCACUCAAACGUACGGCGGCCUCUCGUGUAGUUCUUUGAAGAACAAGAAAGUAAAUGCAUUUCAAGUUUUGCUAAAUAAAGUUAUGAAAUUGAAGUCAAACGGAAGGGAUUGUGGUGAGCCAAUGUCAAGGCUGCAUGGACCAGUUCAAUAUUGGUGUUUGUAUAUUCAUAUAUUGAUGGGGGUGGCGUCACUUGAAUGCAACUUUUUUCUGGAUUUGCAGCGUGAGUUACAGUGCUUGACCGUUUCUUUCUCCCUUACCCCAUGUUAACUUUGGCCUUGCCUUAACCUCCUACUAUACCCCAAGGAGAACAUGGCAGAAUGGAAUCGGCACUUUUUUAUUACUGCAGUUUUUAAAAUAGAGGCUGCAUAGUACAUUACUUCCUCUGCUAAGUAUCCAAACCCCCAACCCAUUCCCCCAGCCAAUGGACAUCUCCAGGCAGUGUGGUAAUGCAUGACUUGAGGUGGGGCCUGGGGCUGGAUGGAGGGUGGGGGAAUCGAGGAGCGAUCACUCGUGAACCUGGACAGCGUCUUCUUCUCUGGAGCCAGUCCUGUCAGCCUCCCCCCCACCUCCCUCCUCCCCCAAGCGCAGCCAUGUUUGCCCAUAGCCAACCUCCCCACACACAUCUUCGGGCCCUUCAGUUAGCUCUGUGAGCUCUGCAAAUCUCAUAAUUGCGAAGCUGACAGGUGAGAUGCGAGUUACCCUCACCCCUGUAGGCAGGAAUGAAAACAUCAAUGGCAGCAGGCACAC